ACGGAAGGCAGCAGUGGGGAAUAUUAGGCAAUGGGGGAAACCCUGACCUAGCGACGCCGCGUGAAGGAUGAAGGUUUUCGGAUUGUAAACUUCUUUUAAGAGGGACGAUAAUGACGGUACCUCUUGAAUAAGCCACGGCUAACUACGUGCCAGCAGCCGCGGUAAUACGUAGGUGGCAAGCGUUGUCCGGAUUUACUGGGUGUAAAGGGCGAGUAGGCGGGCUAACAAGUCAGAUGUGAAAUACCGAGGCUCAACUUCGGGGCUGCAUUUGAAACUGUAAGUCUUGAGUGAUGGAGAGGCAGGCGGAAUUCCCAGUGUAGCGGUAAAAUGCAUAGAGAUUGGGAGGAACACCAGUGGCGAAGGCGGCCUGCUGGACAUUAACUGACGCUGAGGAGCGAAAGUGUGGGGAGCAAACAGGAUUAGAUACCCUGGUA
rnacentral:rRNA from 1 species